UUUCCGUAGGUGAACCUGCGGAAGGAUCAUUAAAAAAUUGGACUCCAUUGGUGAGUUCAUUAAUAAUCCCUACCCUUUGUGAAUUUGUUUGUUUGAAUAAUUUUUUUUCCAAAAAAAAUUAUUGAAUGUCUUUCCCUGUUUUGGUGGAGCUUGUAAAGUGAAACCAGGCAGGGGAAUGGCAAACAAUAAUUAUUUUUGAAAAAAGACCUUUUUUUAAAAUUAAACUUUUUGUAUUCAUUUGUCUAAAAUUAUUUUUAUAAUAUAAAAACAACUUUUGACAAUGGAUCUCUUGGUUCUCGCAACGAUGAAGAACGCAGCAAAAUGCGAUAAGUAGUGUGAAUUGCAGAAUACGUGAAUCAUCGAAUCUUCGAACGCAUAUUGCACUUUUUUAGUUUACUAAAAAAGUAUGUCUGUUUGAGUAUCAGUAAAAUAUUCUCAUAAAAAACAUUGUUUUUUUAUGGUUAUGAGUGUUUUACAACGAUAACAAGUUGUUUCACUUUAAAUUCUUUGUUAUCAAAAAAAUCAUUAAAAGCUAAUUUUAAAGAUUUUUUAAAAUCGGAUAAAAUUUUCCCGUAAAAAGGAAUAACCUAAACAAUUUUAAAAAAUUAAAAUUGGUUUGAUUUUUUUUGAAACCCAAAGGAAAAAAAAACGAAAUUAACUUGAUCUCAAAUCAGAUAAGAGUACCCGCUGAACUUAAGCAUAUCAAUAAGCGGAGGAAAAGAAACUAACUAGGAUUCCCUCAGUAGCGGCGAGUGAAGCGGGAAGAGCUCAAAUUUGAAAUCUUCAAGGUUUUACCUUGACGAAUUGUAGUUUAAAGAAGUGUUUUCUGUUGGAGUUUUGGUAAAAGUUCUUUGGAAAAGGACAUCAUAGAGGGUGGGAAUCCCGUAUUUGACCAUUAUCUCCAGCUUUGUGAUACACUCUCAAAGAGUCGGAUUGUUUGGGAAUGCAGUCCAAAAUGGGUAGUAAAUUUCAUCUAAAGCUAAAUACUGGCGAGAGACCGAUAGCGAACAAGUACCGUGAGGGAAAGAUGAAAAGAACUUUGAAAAGAGAGUUAAACAGUACGUGAAAUUGUCAAAAGGGAAGCGUUUGACACCAGUGUUGUUUUCUCGAAAAUCAAUUAAAAAAGGCCGGAUUUUGUGUUGUAUUGACUUUAUCAGCUUUCUGCACUUUUUUCUUGUCUUUUUUAAUGCACUUUUCGUUUAACAAGUCAACAUCAAUUUCUUUUGUUGUAAAAGGGUCAUUGGAAGGUGGCUUUCUUUUCGGAGAAAGUGUUUAUAGCCUUUGGCCUCUGCAAUCGGAGAGAUUGAGGUCUGCAGCGUAUAUCCUUCGGGGUUAGAUACAUUUGUGCUAAGUUAUAGCCUUUCAUAGACAACUUGUUGACUAUGAUCAGUCAUGUAGCUUACUCGCUUAUGCUAUUUUACCUACGCUUAGGAUGUUG
rnacentral:misc_RNA from 1 species